rnacentral:rRNA from 1 species
AUACCAGCACCCCGAGUGGUCGGGACGAUUAUUGGGCCUAAAGCAUCCGUAGCCGGUGUAGCAAGUCCUCCGUUAAAUCCACUUGCUCAACAAGUGGGCUGCGGAGGAUACUGCUACACUAGGGGGCGCGAGAGGCGAGGGGUAUUCCACGGGUAGGGGUAAAAUCCUCUGAUCCGUGGAGGACCACCAGUGGCGAAGGCGCCUCGCCAGAACGCGCCCGACGGUGAGGGAUGAAAGCUGGGGGAGCAAACCGAAGUAGAUACCCUAGUAGUCC